rnacentral:rRNA from 1 species
GAGCGGCGGACGGGUGAGUAACACGUGGGUAACCUGCCCAAGAGACUGGGAUAACACCUGGAAACAGAUGCUAAUACCGGAUAACAACACUAGACGCAUGUCUAGAGUUUGAAAGAUGGUUCUGCUAUCACUCUUGGAUGGACCUGCGGUGCAUUAGCUAGUUGGUAAGGUAACGGCUUACCAAGGCAAUGAUGCAUAGCCGAGUUGAGAGACUGAUCGGCCACAUUGGGACUGAGACACGGCCCAAACUCCUACGGGAGGCAGCAGUAGGGAAUCUUCCACAAUGGACGAAAGUCUGAUGGAGCAACGCCGCGUGAGUGAAGAAGGGUUUCGGCUCGUAAAGCUCUGUUGGUAGUGAAGAAAGAUAGAGGUAGUAACUGGCCUUUAUUUGACGGUAAUUACUUAGAAAGUCACGGCUAACUACGUGCCAGCAGCCGCGGUAAUACGUAGGUGGCAAGCGUUGUCCGGAUUUAUUGGGCGUAAAGCGAGUGCAGGCGGUUCAAUAAGUCUGAUGUGAAAGCCUUCGGCUCAACCGGAGAAUUGCAUCAGAAACUGUUGAACUUGAGUGCAGAAGAGGAGAGUGGAACUCCAUGUGUAGCGGUGGAAUGCGUAGAUAUAUGGAAGAACACCAGUGGCGAAGGCGGCUCUCUGGUCUGCAACUGACGCUGAGGCUCGAAAGCAUGGGUAGCGAACAGGAUUAGAUACCCUGGUAGCCCAUGCC